rnacentral:rRNA from 1 species
UACGUAGGGGGCAAGCGUUGUCCGGAAUCAUUGGGCGUAAAGCGCGUGUAGGCGGCCCGGUAAGUCCGCUGUGAAAGUCGGGGGCUCAACCCUCGAAUGCCGGUGGAUACUGUCGGGCUAGAGUGCGGGAGAGGCGAGUGGAAUUCCUGGUGCAGCGGUGAAAUGCGCAGAUAUCAGGAAGAACACCCGUGGCGAAGGCGGCUCUCUGGGACGUGACUGACGCUGAGACGCGAAAGCGUGGGGAGCAAACAGG